AUUGAACGCUGGCGGCAGGCCUAACACAUGCAAGUCGAACGAGUGGCGGACGGGUGAGUAAUGUCUGGGAAACUGCCUGAUGGAGGGGGAUAACUACUGGAAACGGUAGCUAAUACCGCAUACCAUCGGAUGUGCCCAGAUGGGAUUAGAUAGUAGGUGGGGUAAAGGCUCACCUAGGCGACGAUCCCUAGCUGGUCUGAGAGGAUGACCGGCCACCGUGGAAAUGGGACACGGGCCAGAGCCCUGCGGGAGGCAGCAGUGGGGAAUAUGGCACAAUGGGCGCAAGCCUGAUGCAGCCAUGCCGGGUGUAUGAAGAGGGCCUUCGGGUUGUAAAGUACUUUCAGCGGGGAGGCGUUACCCGCGGAAGAAGCACCGGCUAACUCCGUGCCAGCGGCCGCGGUAAUA
rnacentral:rRNA from 1 species